rnacentral:lncRNA from 1 species
AUGAACAAAAUGGCAAGGACUUUUAACAAGGGAAGAAACAUGGCUUCCGGACUUGCUCUCUGGAACCCCUUACUUCAUCUACUUGUGCUUGUUAUGGUAACUUCAAUUUAUUCCCACUCUUCAUAUUCUUAUCAUUUAAUUGAGGGAAAUUUGAUGAUGCUGCAGCAUACAAAUCUCUUGUUCUAAUAACUGUUAGUUUUCCUUUAAAUUUAAGCUUUUUUUUUUGGUUUCUGCUUAAAUAUUGUGCAGUGUAUUCAAGGAACUGGAGGCAGGAAGAUGAGUGAAACACAAGAUGGUGAUGGCCAUGAAACAACACAUACAGAGCAUGCUCAUGCUCAUCAUCCAUCAUCCCACAUGCAUCAUCACAUGGACCCUUCAUUUAUGAUUUUCUUCACCUUGGAGGACCUAAAGGAGGGCAAAACCAGGGCCAUCUAUUUUCCCAAAAUAAACCCUUCAAAAUCUCCCCACUUGUUACCAAGGGAAGAAGCUGAUCAAAUUCCUUUCUCAUCAAAACAACUCCUCCACCUCCUUCACUUCUUCUCCUUCUCUCAAGACUCUCCCCAAGCCAAGGCCAUGGAAGACACUCUCAGGCAGUGUGAGAUUGAACCCAUCAAGGGAGAGAUCAAGUCCUGUGCUACAUCCCUAGAAUCCAUGCUUGACUUCACACGUGGCGUCUUCGGAUUGGACACCCCUUUCAGUGUUGUGGCCACAACCCAUCUCACAAAUUCAACUACCAAUUUCCAGAACUACACUAUUUUGGAAGAGCCCAAGGAGAUUUUGGCUCCCAAGAUGGUGGCUUGCCACACCAUGUCUUACCCUUACGUAGUUUUCUACUGCCACAGCCAGAAAAGUGUGAACAAGGUUUUCAAGGUUUUGUUGGGUGGUGAGGAUGGAGAUAGGGUAGAAGCUGUUGCUGUUUGUCACUUGGACACCUCUCAAUGGAGCCCUAAUCAUGCAUCUUUCAGUGUGCUUAGGACUAAGCCAGGGGCUUCUGCUGUGUGUCAUUUCUUUCCUGCUGAUAAUCUUGUGUGGGUUCCAGCAUCCACUUCAAUGUAG